UACGGAGGGUGCAAGCGUUGUCCGGAUUUAUUGGGUUUAAAGGGUGCGUAGGCGGCCCGUUAAGUCGGUGGUGAAAGCCUCCAGCUCAACUGGAGAACUGCCAUUGAUACUGACGGGCUUGAGUACAGACGAGGUUGGCGGAAUUGAUUGUGUAGCGGUGAAAUGCAUAGAUACAAUCAAGAACUCCGAUUGCGUAGGCAGCUAACUAGGCUGUAACUGACGCUGAGGCACGAAAGCGUGGGGAGCGAACAGG
rnacentral:rRNA from 1 species